CAGUAGCCGCGGUAACACGAAGGGUGCAAGCGUUAAUCGGAAUUACUGGGCGUAAAGCGUGCGCAGGCGGUUUGUUAAGACAGAUGUGAAAUCCCCGGGCUUAACCUGGGAACUGCAUUUGUGACUGGCAAGCUAGAGUAUGGCAGAGGGGGGUGGAAUUCCGCGUGUAGCAGUGAAAUGCGUAGAUGUGCGGAGGAACACCGAUGGCGAAGGCAGCCCCCUGGGCCAAUACUGACGCUCAUGCACGAAAGCGUGGGGAGCAAACAGGAUUAGAUACCCCUGUAGUCCCUGUCUCUUAUAC
rnacentral:rRNA from 1 species